GACGAACGCUGGCGGCGUGCUUAACACAUGCAAGUCGAACGGAAAGGCCCUGCUUUUGUGGGGUUCUCGAGUGGCGAACGGGUGAGUAACACGUGAGUAACCUGCCCUUGACUUUGGGAUAACUUCAGGAAACUGGGGCUAAUACCGGAUAGGAUCUCCUGCUGCAUGGUGGGGGUUGGAAAGUUUCGGCGGUUGGGGAUGGACUCGCGGCUUAUCAGCUUGUUGGUGGGGUAGUGGCUUACCAAGGCUUUGACGGGUAGCCGGCCUGAGAGGGUGACCGGCCACAUUGGGACUGAGAUACGGCCCAGACUCCUACGGGAGGCAGCAGUGGGGAAUAUUGCACAAUGGGCGGAAGCCUGAUGCAGCAACGCCGCGUGCGGGAUGACGGCCUUCGGGUUGUAAACCGCUUUCGCCUGUGACGAAGCGUGAGUGACGGUAAUGGGUAAAGAAGCACCGGCUAACUACGUG
rnacentral:rRNA from 1 species